ACCAGUCGUGGUUAUAGUCCGGCUGUGGGGCAGGUGUUGUGGUACUGGCUGGGACCUAAGGAAGAGGAGCUCUGAGCUCCCCCGGGCCGUGCUGCAAGAGCAGAAGGGCAGAGCUCCAGCCCCACAGAGCUGGGGAGCUCCUCUGUACAGAGCACAUAUUGCUGAUUUAAUUUUGGGGUGUAAAAGCCCGGCUGUUCAUGCGCUCUCAGCCUCAGGGCAUUAGGAAGGGAUAGGUAGAACUGCACUCCAGGGCUCUAUUUCCUGCUCUCAGGAACUCGCCUCCCGGUUCAGCUCCCUCCAAGAUCAGCCUCUGGAAAUUCCAGCACAUGAAAUACCUUCUCCAGGUGCCCUGUGGAGGGCUGGAUUUGCUCCCAGAGCUGUUCAGGUCUCCUCAAAGAUCCCAGUGCAGGCACUUGGAUGAAGGUUUUCAUUUCCUUGGACUGUAAAUGUUGUUUUGAGCCUCAGACAGUUUCCUGCUGCAGAACUUGGAGGAGAAACAUGUCAAACAUUCUCCACUUGGACAGCAGCCCUGAGGUGUGAGUGUGAGAGGCUCCUGCAUGAGCCCUGUGCCCAGAGCAGGGCAGGCAGCAGCACGUGGGAAUGCAGAGCCCCAGCUCUCAGGAAGCUUCCUUUCCUCCUGAGGUGAUACUGCAGGUAAAACUUACAGUCCUUGAAGUUUUCUGUCACUUGGGUUGAGCUGAUGGCUAAGUCCCACGUGUGUGAGUUCUGUGAAGGAAUGCUUUGCCGUGGAGGUGGUGGCUGCCUUGGAUCAGAUUGCAUCCCCUUGCUUACUUCACCCUGCCUGGUAAUGGGAUCAAGGGGGGACUGCAAACUUUGAGGAACUAUUUGGAGUCCCUUGUUGUUAGGACCCUUGUUCAGAGGGGUCUGAACGCAGCCUCCCCUCUCCAGAUCCACCACAGCCUCUCAGCUAUGGAAAGGGCUGUUGGUUCUCCCUCAGUUCCCUGCCUUUCAGAGCCUGUGUCCCCCCAGUAGUGCUCCUUUUGAUGCCACAGCAGUCACAAAAUAGGUCAAGCACCAUCUAAACCCUGACUUGAUAUCCCUUGAACUAAAUUCCUGCCCUGCCUGAGUGUGCCCCAAAGGGGGUUAGGACUCAUGGCUUAAAGGGAGCUAAGAGAGAUGAGCAGCUUUGCUGUAGCUGAGUAAACAGCUCUAGGCAGCCCGGCUCCCUGCUGUGCCAUCCCGGCUCCCUGCCCUGCCACCCCGGCUCCCUGCCGUGCCAUCCCAUCCCCGUUCCCUCCUGUGCCAUCCCGGCUCCCUGCCCUGCCAUCCCAUCCCCGCUCCCUCCCGUGCCAUCCCGGCUUCCUCCCGUACCAUCCCGGCCUCAUCUUACCCAGGGAAGUGUCCAACAUGUGUGCUUUCAGAGAAUCAUUAAGGCUGGAAAAGACCUCCAAGAUCAAGUCCAACCUUUGACAAAAUAGCACCGUGCCCGCUAAGCCGUAUCUGGAAGUGCCACACCCACUGAGUUUUUUGGCCGCUCCCAGGGAUGGUGACUCCAGCAGUGCCCUGCUGCUCUCACCAGGUGACUUCGGUGACACUAGUGCUAGAAGGGAUAGGAGGGUGGGAACCUCGGGUUAUCCUGGCUCACCUGAGCUUUGGUCGGUGUGUUACAUGUUUCACCUCUGUCACUUCUGUGGUAACCCCACAGUGCUGUCCUACAUGUGUGGUAGGCCAGCACUCUCUGACAAGGGCAACAACAAAACACCUGGACAAGUGAGUCACUCCCUCACAUCCCAAGCCCGGAGCUUUGGGAAACCUCAGUGAAAGUUUGUCUUAGAGAUGUUUGUCUGUGGCUGCCAGCCUGUCCUUGAUGCUGUCAGUGGAAGGGCCCAGAUUUAUUUGUGUUUCAAGAUCCUUUUGAGUCUCUGCAGAUGAAAAUCUGUUCUCGUGGUGAUGCAGUGGUGACUCAGCACUAGGGAAGGAGGGAAGAUGACCUUAGGAAAAUCUUUUUACCCCCAUGCUCUGGAGAUGUCCAGGAAAGGAAAGAAGAUUCCAUGGGAAAAAAAUAUUAGCCCUUGGCAGAAAGAGGCUUUAGAAGAAGCCCAGAGCUUAAUGCCAGGGGAGGGCUGCAAAGUCUGGGGUCUGGGCACACACCAGCCUCAGGCCUUGGUCCCAGUUCUUUCUGCAGGAGACAGCUGGAGCUGCAGGAGUUUCCUUCCUGCGCUUUCAGGGUCAGGGGUUGCAAGAGGAGAAGGACAACCCAGGAUUCUGGCAGGUAUGGAAGUGACAAUUCCAGCAGUAGAACAGAGUCAGCCCUGCAGCUGCAGCAGCAGCUACAGUAGAAGCAACCCAUCCUCUGCUACAGGUGAGCCCUCAAAGCCCUCUGUGACUUGUUAAAGCUUGGAGGACAAGGGCAGAAAGGGCUGUCAUGGGCAUCCUCACUAAAAGCUCAGCGUUGAUGGAGCAAACAAGCCCUGAAUGUGCCACCAGCUCCCCAGGGAAAAAAGCCCUGUCUCUGGUUGUGUGAUCAAACCAGAACCUUGUUCCAGCAGUACCUGCUCACCCUCCUGUUGGCCCUCCCAGGCUUCUCUCUGCUAUGGUCUCACUUCCCAGGACCUGCUCACAUCACCUUGGCAUGUUCCCUGGGUGAUACCUUUGGCUGCCCACCCAGCCAGGGCAGCUCAGUGGUUGUUGGGGCAGCCACUGUCCCCCUGGUCUGUCCCUCAGCUCUGGGUUUGAUGUCCCUAUUGCUACUGCUGCAGUCUGACAGCUACAGCCCCUCAGGCAGCAAAUGUGCCACCCCAGAGCUGUGGGGCUUUCCACAGGACACCAAGCUCUCCUCGUGGUGUAUGCCACACCUUCCUUGCUCUUCUGCUGUCUGAACCUUGAGGGAGCUGUUUGAGAUCACCAAGUUCUCCCUCCCCCCAUGGCCCUGAGCUUUCUGCUGUUCCUGACUGAGAAUGGCAGGAGUAGGAUUAGACUGGGAUGUUCUGACCCUUCUGCCAGCAGCUCAGCCAAUGGAUGAAGGCAUGUUCUUAUCAGCACAUGCUUGUUUUUGUGAACAUUCAUCAUAUAAAACUCCUACUACAUGAGGAACUCCGACAGAACUUUUUUUUCUAUAAUCUUAUGUAGUCAAAUACUCUUUUGUCCAAAUACUUUUCCUUCCCCUGGAGUUUUGGUCUCUGGACUCAACACAGCCUCUUUGGAUGUUUCUUCCCACUGCCAGAGAGCAGGGAUGGACGGGAUAUUGGGAAGGAAUUGUUCUCUGUGAGAGU